rnacentral:misc_RNA from 1 species
GUUUCAUCGUCCUCAUCGUCUUCUCUUCUCGGCCUCUUACCAUGGCCGAGUCUACAUAGCCAUCUUCUUUGCUCUUCAACUAAAAAGCUUCUCUAAAAAUGAGCUCUAAGGACAGAAUUUCUUACUUCUACGACGGGGAUGUGGGUAGCGUUUACUUUGGGCCGAACCAUCCAAUGAAGCCUCACCGGCUUUGUAUGACUCACCAUCUUGUUCUCUCCUACGAGCUCCAUAAGAAGAUGGAGAUUUACCGGCCUCACAAGGCAUAUCCUGUUGAGCUUGCACAGUUCCAUUCAGCUGACUAUGUUGAAUUUUUACACCGGAUUUCCCCAGAUACUCAACAC